rnacentral:rRNA from 1 species
CCUACGGGGGGCAGCAGUGGGGAAUAUUGGACAAUGGGCGAAAGCCUGAUCCAGCCAUGCCGCGUGUGUGAAGAAGGCCUUCGGGUUGUAAAGCACUUUCAGUGGGGAAGAAAGCCUUGGGGCUAAUACCCUCGAGGAAGGACAUCACCCACAGAAGAAGCACCGGCUAACUCCGUGCCAGCAGCCGCGGUAAUACGGAGGGUGCGAGCGUUAAUCGGAAUUACUGGGCGUAAAGCGCGCGUAGGCGGUCUGAUAAGCCGGUUGUGAAAGCCCCGGGCUCAACCUGGGAACGGCAUCCGGAACUGUCAGGCUAGGGUGCAGGAGAGGAAGGUAGAAUCCCCGGUGUAGCGGUGAAAUGCGUAGAGAUCGGGAGGAAUACCAGUGGCGAAGGCGGCCUUCUGGACUGACACUGACGCUGAGGUGCGAAAGCGUGGGUAGCAAACAGGAUUAGAUACCCCUGUAUC